AGUGGCUAAGAAACCAUACCUCGGCCUAUUACAGGUAUGUAGUGGCUAGGAAACCAUACCUCUGCCUAUUACAGGUAUGUAGUGGCUAGGAAACCAUACCUCGGCCUAUUACAGGUAUGUAGUGGCUAGGAAACCAUACCUCGGCCUAUUACAGGUAUGUAGUGGCUAGGAAACCAUACCUCGGCCUAGUAGUUCGUAGUGGCUAGGAAACCAGUACCUCGGCCUAGUAGUUCGUAGUGGCUAGGAAACCAGUACCUCGGCCUAGUAGUUCGUAGUGGCUAGGAAACCAGUACCUCGGCCUAGUAGUUCGUAGUGGCUAGGAAACCAGUACCUCGGCCUAGUAGUUCGUAGUGGCUAGGAAACCAGUACUCGGCCUAGUAGUUCGUAGUGGCUAGGAAACCAGUACCUCGGCCUAGUAGUUCGUAGUGGCUAGGAAACCAGUACCUCGGCCUAGUAGUUCGUAGUGGCUAGGAAACCAGUACCUCGGCCUAGUAGUUCGUAGUGGCUAGGAAACCAGUACCUCGGCCUAGUAGUUCGUAGUGGCUAGGAAACCAGUACCUCGGCCUAGUAGUUCGUAGUGGCUAGGAAACCAGUACCUCGGCCUAGUAGUUCGUAGUGGCUAGGAAACCAGUACCUCGGCCUAGUAGUUCGUAGUGGCUAGGAAACCAGUACCUCGGCCUAGUAGUUCGUAGUGGCUAGGAAA